rnacentral:rRNA from 1 species
CCAACAGGGAUUGCCUCAGUAACGGCGAGUGAAGCGGCAACAGCUCAAAUUUGAAAUCUGGCGCAAGCCCGAGUUGUAAUUUGUAGAGGAUGCUUCUGGGCAGCGGCCGGUCUAAGUUCCUUGGAACAGGACGUCAUAGAGGGUGAGAAUCCCGUAUGCGACCGGUUGGCACCCGUCACGUAGCUCCUUCGACGAGUCGAGUUGUUUGGGAAUGCAGCUCUAAAUGGGUGGUAAAUUCCAUCUAAAGCUAAAUACCGGCCAGAGACCGAUAGCGCACAAGUAGAGUGAUCGAAAGAUGAAAAGCACUUUGGAAAGAGAGUUAAAAAGCACGUGAAAUUGUUAAAAGGGAAGCGCAU